GUAUCUUUAGUCAAAGGAA
rnacentral:siRNA from 1 species